CGUUGCUGCUCUUCUAGUUUCCCUCCACGUGAACCAGAAUGAUGGAAGGACAGGGCGGCAGGUGCUCUUCGUCCGACGACGUCGAUGUUCCUUUGGUUUGAUUGUUCCAGGUUCUUCAUCGUGUAGCUCAAGUAUUGCUUU
rnacentral:pre_miRNA from 1 species